GGAAAAGUUGCCAUUGGUAAGGUAAGAUAUUUGCUAAAUAUUGUUCGAUUGAACCUGAGUGUUCGAUUCACUCCUUUUCCG
rnacentral:tRNA from 1 species